AUUGAACGCUGGCGGCAGGCCUAACACAUGCAAGUCGAGCGGAUGAAGGGAGCUUGCUCCUGGAUUCAGCGGCGGACGGGUGAGUAAUGCCUAGGAAUCUGCCUGGUAGUGGGGGAUAACGUCCGGAAACGGGCGCUAAUACCGCAUACGUCCUGAGGGAGAAAGUGGGGGAUCUUCGGACCUCACGCUAUCAGAUGAGCCUAGGUCGGAUUAGCUAGUUGGUGGGGUAAAGGCCUACCAAGGCGACGAUCCGUAACUGGUCUGAGAGGAUGAUCAGUCACACUGGAACUGAGACACGGUCCAGACUCCUACGGGAGGCAGCAGUGGGGAAUAUUGGACAAAGGGCGAAAGCCUGAUCCAGCCAUGCCGCGUGUGUGAAGAAGGUCUUCGGAUUGUAAAGCACUUUAAGUUGGGAGGAAGGGCAGUAAGUUAAUACCUUGCUGUUCUGACGUUACCAACAGAAUAAGCACCGGCUAACUUCGUG
rnacentral:rRNA from 1 species